CCAACUUUGGACCAAAUUUAAAAAAAAACUAAGCCGAACGACACCCUGGAUUUUUUCUCAAGUAGACCUUAGCUAUUCAGCUUCCCAUUGCAGAGUGGCGAAAAAAGUAUUGCCGUAGAACAUUUUUAUUAACAUUUCCGUAAGGGUGGGGUAGGGUGUCCGACCCCAACUUUGGACCAAAUUUAAAAAAAAACUAAGCUGAACC
rnacentral:lncRNA from 1 species